rnacentral:rRNA from 1 species
AGCGAACGCUAGCGGCGGGCCUAACACAUGCAAGUCGAGCGCAUAGCUUCGGCUAUGAGCGGCGGACGGGUGAGUAACACGUAGGUUAUCCACCUUUUGGUGGGGGAUAACCCGGGGAAACCCGGGCUAAUACCGCAUAUGGCCAGCAAUGGUCAAAGCCAGCAAUGGCGCCAGAAGACGAGCCUGCGUCGCAUUACCUAGUUGGUAGGGUAACGGCCUACCAAGGGGACGAUGCGUAGCUGGUCUGAGAGGAUGAUCAGCCACACUGGGACUGAGACACGGCCCAGACUCCUACGGGAGGCAGCAGUGGGGAAUAUUGCGCAAUGGGCGGAAGCCUGACGCAGCCACGCCGCGUGAGUGAUGAAGGCCUUCGGGUUGUAAAGCUCUGUCGGGAGGGACGAAGUUCUGACGG